AUAAAGACAUAACGUAGUAGUGAUAUGGGACACUCCAUAAAACCCAUAACAUUUAUCAAUCUACUUCUGCAGGUACAAGCAAAGGAGUUAAUCGACCAAGAUACCAGAAUAUGAAUAUGAAUAAAAUAUUUGAAAAACCAUUUACACCAAAAACACAAAAAGACCACUUAUUCAUACCCCCACAAGUUAACACAUACCGAGAUAGCCUAAACCAAGACAAAAAAGUNN
rnacentral:lncRNA from 1 species